AGUGAGCGCUGGCGGUAGGCCUAACACAUGCAAGUCGAACGGCAGCACAGUAAGAGCUUGCUCUUACGGGUGGCGAGUGGCGGACGGGUGAGGAAUACAUCGGAAUCUACUUUUUCGUGGGGGAUAACGUAGGGAAACUUACGCUAAUACCGCAUACGACCUACGGGUGAAAGCAGGGGAUCUUCGGACCUUGCGCGAUUGAAUGAGCCGAUGUCGGAUUAGCUAGUUGGCGGGGUAAAGGCCCACCAAGGCGACGAUCCGCAGCUGGUCUGAGAGGAUGAUCAGCCACACUGGAACUGAGACACGGUCCAGACUCCUACGGGAGGCAGCAGUGGGGAAUAUUGGACAAUGGGCGCAAGCCUGAUCCAGCCAUACCGCGUGGGUGAAGAAGGCCUUCGGGUUGUAAAGCCCUUUUGUUGGGAAAGAAAAGCAGCAGGUUAAUACCCCGCUGUUCUGACGGUACCCAAAGAAUAAGCACCGGCUAACUUCGUG
rnacentral:rRNA from 1 species